rnacentral:tRNA from 1 species
GCCUACAUCGCGUAAUGGUAUCGCAUCGGAUUGCUAAUCCGAGCCCCUCCGGGGGCAUCCAGGUUCGAUUCCUGGUGUAGGCG